ensembl:snRNA LOC120093495 U4 spliceosomal RNA
AGCUUUGCGCAGUGGCAGUAUCGUAGCCAAUGAGGUUUAUCCGAGGCACGGUUAUUGCUAAUUGAAAACUUGACCUUUCUGCAUCCAUGUUCUCAUCUACAAAAUGAGAUGUAACUUAUUCUUCAAUAGAUUGCUUAUUAGGUAAUACUCAUAUUAAAUAUGCUAUAGUAUCUGAAACAUAGUUAAGCAU